rnacentral:rRNA from 1 species
ACUGAACGCUGGCGGCAGGCUUAACACAUGCAAGUCGAGCGGGGUGAUGGUGCUUGCACUAUCACUUAGCGGCGGACGGUUGAGUAAUGCUUAGGAACCUGCCUAUUAGUGGGGGACAACAUCUCGAAAGGGAUGCUAAUACCGCAUACGUCCUACGGGAGAAAGCAGGGGAUCACUUGUGACCUUGCGCUAAUAGAUGAGCCUAAGUCGGAUUAGCUAGUUGGUGGGGUAAAGGCCUACCAAGGCGACGAUCUGUAGCGGGUCUGAGAGGAUGAUCCGCCACACUGGGACUGAGACACGGCCCAGACUCCUACGGGAGGCAGCAGUGGGGAAUAUUGGACAAUGGGGGGAACCCUGAUCCAGCCAUGCCGCGUGUGUGAAGAAGGCCUUAUGGUUGUAAAGCACUUUAAGCGAGGAGGAGGCUCUUUUGGUUAAUACCCAAGAUGAGUGGACGUUACUCGCAGAAUAAGCACCGGCUAACUCUGUGCCAGCCGCCGCCGUAA